GCCAGGUGUGAUGGCACACACCUGUAACCCCAGCUUCAGGGGAGGCUGGGGCAGGAGGAUUGCAAGUUCAAGGCCACUUCAGCAACUUACGGAGACCCUGUCUCUA
rnacentral:sRNA from 1 species